CCGGAGAAUGAUUCUGAAAGGGUUGUUGAAAUGGGAGAAGAAUAUAAAAAUUCUCAUGCUGCUUCUACUUCGUCGAGUUGUCAGAUUGAUCUCUGGAAAUAGUGAUAAAGGUGAAGAAGAUGCAAGAAUGAAUAUAUAUGAAAAUUUAGAUAUGCACACUAGUGCGGUGUAGAGGAUGGUGGACACAGUUUUAUACUUAAAGGUGGAAGGGAAAAAACAAGGAGUUAUUUCCGCAUUUAUGGAGGUUUUGUACAUAAUAAAAACCUAUAAACCAUAUGGUACCAAAAUAUAUAGUAUUUUCUUUUGAUCACAUUAUUGAACUAUAUGUUAUACACGUACAUAUGUAUGUAUGUAUGUAUGUAUGUAUGGAUGUAUGUAUGUAUGAAUGUAUGCAUCUUAAUUUUAUAUAUAAAGCAUAUGAAUUUAUGAUUUAAAUGUGAGACCAAUUUUGUAUGAAGGUUGAAGGGAUACCUAAUUCUUAAUAAAACUUAUACUUAAUUAGUUAUGUUAUUUACUCACUUGAUUCAUAUUAAUAUGUCGCCUCAUUUUUUUUUGUUUCUUUGGUUCUUCUCUCAUAAUUAUUUGCUUAUAAAUUUUCUUAAAUCUAUUAAAAAUCCGUUUACUAUUUAAUUGUUCAAAAUCCAAAUUAAUUAAACAUAUAUAACUUGCUUACUAAUUUUAUUAGACAUAGCCAUAUAUCGUUCUUAUUACUUAAUUUAAAGGAAAAAAAUUACCAAAAUAAACUUUAAAGAAAACAAACAAGAACAUAGUAGAACAACAAAUGUUCCAAAAAUCGUCAUAAAUAAAUUACCAAUUGAAUUUAAUUUGGAUUGACUUUGACUUACAUGAUUUAAGUUGUCUUUGAUCAUGAAGACAAGUUGCAAGAAACUUGAAGAGUUAGUAAGUGAAACCCAGAGAAAAGAAUGUGAAAGAGAGAAGUAAAUAUGGCAUAUAGAAC
rnacentral:lncRNA from 1 species